AUGGUACCCAAAGUCCAGCGACAUCCGAAGCUGUAUCUUGCUCGCGAACUUGCCCUCCUUCUUCUCGCCGUCGUCGCUGGGGCGCGCAAGGCUGUACCAGCGCGGCUCCACGGGCUUGCCGAAGUGGUCAUGGCGCGGCAUUGCGGCGUUGAGGGGCAGCAUAAUGCGCCCGAGCGGCUCGUCGCGGCCCGGCCCGACGCGGUCCUCCACGGUGACGAGCAAGGGCUCGUCGAAGGGCUCCGACGCGACAAACAUGAACUCCUCGUUCCACAUCGGGUUGGGCGUCCCCGGCGGCCCGCCCGGGCGCGUGCGCCGCACCUGCCCGGCGAGCUGCAGCUUGACGGAGGCGUUCAUGGGGCGCGACGUGUCGUGGGGCACGAGGUCCUGCGCCCCGAUGGCGGCGACGCGGAGGUACACGAGCUUGGGCGAGAAGUAUACCUUGGCGCGCGUGGAGGCGACGGCCGACGGACCAGCCGCCCCAUGCGCAUCGGAAUGCCAAGCCUCCGGAAACGCCUCAUCGGCCUGGGUCCCGAGCCACACCGACAGCAUGAUCUCGCCGCGGUGGAGCUUCUCCCCACGCUUGCCGUCGAGCCUGUACCACUGGGGCGCCAGCGGGGAGUCCGGCGGCACGCGGACCGGGACCUCGGAGAGAUCGAACCCUAUGCGGCCGACCAUGUCGUCGCCGCCGGCGAGAUCCUUGGCCUUGACGGCGACCUCGAGCAGAUGCGACUGGAGGUGCGUGGCGGAGAAGGCGAAGACCUGGUGCCAGGAAGGGCUAUGGUGGCCGGCGAGGACGGCGGUGGUGCCCUUGAAGUUGCCGAGCUUGACCUCGACGAAGGGGUCGAUGGAGCCGGUGGGGGAGACGGCGGGGAGGUCCCGCGCCUUGACGACGUGCACGUAGAGGAAGCGCAUCGGCUCGACGAGGUCGUAGGUGGAGGAGAUCUUGCCCGCGGCGUUGGCGGCGGCGGCGGAGGGGUUGAGGCCCGGGAUGUUGAAGCGGGGCCGCAGCAU
rnacentral:rRNA from 1 species